rnacentral:rRNA from 1 species
UACAGAGGUCUCAAGCGUUGUUCGGAUUCAUUGGGCGUAAAGGGUGCGUAGGCGGCGCGGUAAGUCGGGUGUGAAAUCUCGGAGCUUAACUCCGAAACUGCAUUCGAUACUGCCGUGCUUGAGGACUGGAGAGGAGACUGGAAUUUACGGUGUAGCGGUGAAAUGCGUAGAUAUCGUAAGGAAGACCAGUGGCGAAGGCGGGUCUCCGGACAGUUCCUGACGCUGAGGCACGAAGGCCAGGGGAGCAAACGGG